CCCAGGUAAUAGUCUGUUGUAUCUGUGUAUACAUUGUUAUACAGACCCCAGUAUCUACCCAGGUAAUAGUCUGUUGUAUACAUUGUUAUACAGACCCCAGUAUCUACCCAGGUAAUAGUCUGUUGUAUACAUUGUUAUACAGACCCCAGUAUCUACCCAGGUAAUAGUCUGUUGUAUCUGUGUAUACAUUGUUAUACAGACCCCAGUAUCUACCCAGGUAAUAGUCUGUUGUAUCUGUGUAUACAUUGUUAUACAGACCCCAGUAUCUACCCAGGUAAUAGUCUGUUGUAUCUGUGUAUACAUUGUUAUACAGACCCCAGUAUCUACCCAG